rnacentral:rRNA from 1 species
CAUCUGCCUUAGGUCGGGGACAACAGUUGGAAACGACUGCUAAUACCGGAUGAGCUGAUAAGUUAAAGAUUUAUCGCCUAGGGAAUAGCUCGCGGCUGAUUAGCUAGUUGGUGAUGUAAGAGAUCACCAAGGCAACGAUCAGUAUCUGGUCUGAGACGAUGACCACCCCCUCUGGGACUGAGACCCGGCCCCUACUCCUACGGGAGGCAGCAGUGGGGAAUUUUCCGCAAUGGGCGAAAGCCUGACGGAGCAAUACCGCGUGAGGGAGGAAGGCUCUUGGGUUGUAAACCUCAAAACUCAGGGAAGAAGAAAGUGACGGUACCUGAUAUAAGCAUCGGCUAACUCCGUGCCAGCAGCCGCGGUAAUACGGAGGAUGCAAGCGUUAUCCGGAAUCAUUGGGCGUAAAGCGUCNGUAGGUGGCAUUUNAAGUCNGCAUUCAAAGACCGAGGCUCAACCUCGGGUAGGGUGUGGAAANUGAAAAGCUAGAGUACAGGAGGGGUACGAGGGAAUUCCUAGUGUAGCGGUGACCCGNGUAGUAGAUUNGGAAGAACAACCCCAGUGAUNGNGGUGNAUNGAGAACCCCAGUANNNAANGGGNNUAGAUACCCCAGUAU